CUUACCAUGUGGUGGAAGUUCCUGUUUGGUUUGACUAUAAGUACUAAAUGUCUAGGAUACACACUACAAAAAAUCUUCCUAUUCACAGUUGUGGAGUAUGAUAAUUCGUGCUUUGUGCUCUUCCAAUCUUCCCAAUGAAGUUCCUGGUAUUCCUUGUGUUGAUUUGUGCCUCUACUAUCCUGGUCUUUUGUUUUCCCUCUGGAAGGAAAUCAGUUGAUGAAAGCAACUAUGUGGCUGAAGAACAACUCAUUAGGACUGUGAAAGGCACAGGAUCUUCUCAGGAACCAGAAGACUCACAAGAAAGUUCUAUGAACAGUGGUGGCAAUGUGUUUGAUC
rnacentral:lncRNA from 1 species